rnacentral:rRNA from 1 species
AUUGAACGCUGGCGGCAGGCCUAACACAUGCAAGUCGAGCGGAUGAAGGGAGCUUGCUCCUGGAUUCAGCGGCGGACGGGUGAGUAAUGCCUAGGAAUCUGCCUGGUAGUGGGGGAUAACGUCCGGAAACGGGCGCUAAUACCGCAUACGUCCUGAGGGAGAAAGUGGGGGAUCUUCGGACCUCACGCUAUCAGAUGAGCCUAGGUCGGAUUAGCUAGUUGGUGGGGUAAAGGCCUACCAAGGCGACGAUCCGUAACUGGUCUGAGAGGAUGAUCAGUCACACUGGAGCUGAGACACGGUCCAGACUCCUAAGGGAGGCAGCAGUGGGGAAUAUUGGACAAUGGGCGAAAGCCUGAUCCAGCCAUGCCGCGUGUGUUAAGAAGGUCUUCGGAUUGUAAAGCACUUUAAGUUGGGAGGAAGGGCAGUAAGUUAAUACCUUGCUGUUUUGACGUUACCAACAGAAUAAGCACCGGCUAACUUCGUG